rnacentral:lncRNA from 1 species
UCUCUCUAGCUUGUUCCUAGACUGACUGGUUUUGAUUAUCUCCCUUACACUUCCACGCAGUUUAGAUGAAUGAUUGCUCAGUAACCAGUAAUUAUCCAUCUAUUCCCCGGCGGAAUCUGUGGCCUUCUACCCAGUAACCGAGAGUUAACCUUAUUUUGUUCAUCCUAACCGAUGGCGGUUACACUUCUGUGGUUUUCCACCUAGUAUCUGGUAGAUGUAAUCCCC